CUUUGUACUUGCUCUAUCUGUGGGGUUGAGGAUGAGAGCACUUUUCACGCUCUUGUUUCUUGCCCCAAGGCUCGUGCACUUCGGUUGGCGUUGAGGAAAGUUUGGAAUUUGCCCGGGGAAGAGGCUUUCAAUUAUUCAGGUCCGGAUUGGUUACUUAUUUUAUUAAACCAGAUAAGCUGUUCGCAAAGGGAAUGCAUCUUGUUUAUUUUCUGGCAAGCUUGGCACUUGAGGAAUGAUUUGAUUUUUGGGAAAGGAAAAGAAACAGUUACAGGAUCCGCUAUGUUUCUGGAAAGUUACUGGUCUUCCUUUUCGUCGUGUCAGCCUACAAAUGAGGUAGUCACCAAUCACAAAGGAAAGGAGGUGGUGACUGGUUUUGGUGCAAGUAAUAAUGUUGUGAGAUCCAAAGGGGUGUGGCAGGCGCCUCCUUCUGACCACGUCAAGUCAAUGUUGAUGCAAGUUUUGUGGAGAGUUUAA
rnacentral:rRNA from 1 species